rnacentral:tRNA from 1 species
GGUCGAAUGGUGUAGUGGUUAUCACGUGUGCUUCACAAUUACAGUCCGCACAAGAUCCCGGGUUCAAUCCCCGGUUUGACCU